UACGAAGGGUGCAAGCGUUACUCGGAAUUACUGGGCGUAAAGCGUGCGUAGGUGGUUCGUUAAGUCUGUCGUGAAAGCCCCGGGCUCAACCUGGGAAUGGCGAUGGAUACUGGCGGGCUAGAGUGCGGUAGAGGAGAGUGGAAUUCCCGGUGUAGCAGUGAAAUGCGUAGAGAUCGGGAGGAACAUCGGUGGCGAAAGCGCUCUACUGGACCGCAACUGACACUCAGGGACGAAAGCUAGGGGAGCGAAUGGG
rnacentral:rRNA from 1 species